UACGUAGGGUGCAAGCGUUAAUCGGAAUUACUGGGCGUAAAGCGUGCGCAGGCGGUUUUGUAAGUCUGAUGUGAAAUCCCCGGGCUCAACCUGGGAAUUGCAUUGGAGACUGCAAGGCUAGAAUCUGGCAGAGGGGGGGUAGAGUUCCACGUGUAGCAGUGAAAUGCGUAGAGAUGUGGAGGAACACCGAUGGCGAAGGCAGCCCCCUGGGUCAAGAUUGACGCUCAUGCACGAAAGCGUGGGGAGCAAACAGG
rnacentral:rRNA from 1 species